rnacentral:rRNA from 1 species
ACGAACGCUGGCGGCACGCUUAACACAUGCAAGUCGAACGAGAGAAGAGAAGCUUGCUUUUCUGAUCUAGUGGCGGACGGGUGAGUAACACGUGAGCAAUCUGCCUUUCAGAGGGGGAUACCGAUUGGAAACGAUCGUUAAUACCGCAUAAUAUAAUUGAACCGCAUGAUUUGAUUAUCAAAGAUUUAUCGCUGAAAGAUGAGCUCGCGUCUGAUUAGCUAGUUGGUAAGGUAACGGCUUACCAAGGCGACGAUCAGUAGCCGGACUGAGAGGUUGAUCGGCCACAUUGGGACUGAGACACGGCCCAGACUCCUACGGGAGGCAGCAGUGGGGAAUAUUGCACAAUGGAGGAAACUCUGAUGCAGCGAUGCCGCGUGAGGGAAGAAGGUUUUAGGAUUGUAAACCUCUGUCUUCAGGGACGAAAAAUGACGGUACCUGAGGAGGAAGCUCCGGCUAACUACGUGCCAGCAGCCGCGGUAAUACGUAGGGAGCGAGCGUUGUCCGGAAUUACUGGGUGUAAAGGGAGCGUAGGCGGGAUCGCAAGUCAGAUGUGAAAACUAUGGGCUUAACCCAUAAACUGCAUUUGAAACUGUGGUUCUUGAGUGAAGUAGAGGUAAGCGGAAUUCCUAGUGUAGCGGUGAAAUGCGUAGAUAUUAGGAGGAACAUCAGUGGCGAAGGCGGCUUACUGGGCUUUAACUGACGCUGAGGCUCGAAAGCGUGGGGAGCAAACAGGAUUAGAUACCCUGGUAGUCCACGCCGUAAACGAUGAUUACUAGGUGUGGGGGGACUGACCCCUUCCGUGCCGCAGCAAACGCAAUAAGUAAUCCACCUGGGGAGUACGACCGCAAGGUUGAAACUCAAAGGAAUUGACGGGGGCCCGCACAAGCAGUGGAGUAUGUGGAUUAAUUCGAAGCAACGCGAAGAACCUUACCAGGUCUUGACAUCGUAUGCAUAGCUCAGAGAUGAGUGAAAUCUCUUCGGAGACAUAUAGACAGGUGGUGCAUGGUUGUCGUCAGCUCGUGUCGUGAGAUGUUGGGUUAAGUCCCGCAACGAGCGCAACCCUUACUGUUAGUUGCUACGCAAGAGCACUCUAGCAGGACUGCCGUUGACAAAACGGAGGAAGGUGGGGAUGACGUCAAAUCAUCAUGCCCCUUAUGACCUGGGCCUCACACGUACUACAAUGGCUGUCAACAGAGGGAAGCAAAGCCGCGAGGUGGAGCAAACCCCUAAAAGCAGUCUUAGUUCGGAUUGUAGGCUGCAACCCGCCUACAUGAAGUCGGAAUUGCUAGUGAUCGCAGAUCAGCAUGCUGCGGUGAAUACGUUCCCGGGCCUUGUACACACCGCCCGUCACGCCAUGGGAGUCGGUAACACCCGAAGCCUGUAGUCUAACCGCAAGGAGGACGCAGUCGAAGGUGGGAUUGAUGACUGGGGUG